AUGAGAAGAAGCAGCUUCUCCUCUCCUUCUGGAAUCUCUGCCUGGUUCAGCCCACCUGCCUCCACUCCUGCCUCCACCGUGUCCAUCAGGAUGACCCAGAGGUCCUACAAGGUGUCCACCUUAGGUCCUACAAGGUGUCCACCUUGUGGGCCCAGUGCCCGCAUCAGCUCCUGGAGCCUCUCCCAAGUGGGCAGCAGCGGCUUCCAGGGCGGCCUGGGCAGAGGCCAUAGUGGCGCCAGUGGCAUGGAAGGCAUCACCACUGUCAUGGUCAAGCAGAGCCUGCUGAGCCCCCUUACCUGGAGAGGGACUCCAACAUCCAGGAGUCGGCACCCAGGAGAAGGACCAGGUCAAGACCCUCAACAAGUUUGCGUCCUUCAUAGACAAGGUAGGGAGAAAAAGAUACUGGAGACCAAGUGGAGCCUCCUGCGGCAGCAGAAGAAGGCUGGGAGCAACAUGGACAACAUGUUCGAGAGCUACAUCAACAACUUUAGGUGGCAGCUGGAGGCUGGGCCAGGAGAAGAUGAAGCUGGAGGCGGAGCAUGGCAACAUGCAGGGGCCGCUGGAGGACUUCACGAACAAGUAUGAGGAUGAGAUCAAUAAGCGUACAAAGAUGGAGAAUGAAUUUGUCCUCAUCAAGAAGGAUGUGGAUGAAGCUUACAUGCACAGGGUAGAGCUGGAGUCUCACCUGCAAGGGCUGACUGAGGAGAUCAACUUUCUCAGGCAGCUGUAUGAAGAGGAGAUCCGGGAGCUGCAGUCCCAGAUCUCAGACACGUCUGUGGUGCUGUCCACGGACAACAGCCGCUCCCUGGUCAUGGACAGCGUCAUCGCUGAGGUCAAGGCGCAGUACGAGGAGAUCGGCAACCGCAGCUGGGCUGAGGCUGAGAGCAUGUACCAGAUCAAGUAUGAGGAGCUCCAGACGCUGGCUGGGAAGCAGGGGGAUGACCUGCAGUGAACGAAGACUGAGAUCUCCCAGAUGAACUGGAACAUAAGCUGGCUUCAGGCUGAGACUGAGGGCCUGGAAGGCCAGCGGGCUUCCCUGGAGGCUGCCAUCACAGAUGCCGAGCAUCCUGGGGAGCUGGCCCUUAAGGAUGCCAAGGCCAAGCUGUCUGAGCUGGAGGCCGCCCUGCAGCGGACCAAGCAGGACAUGGCACGGCAGCUGCGUGAGUACCAGGAGCUGAUGAACGUCAAGCUGGCCCUGAACAUCGAGAUCGCCACCUACAGGAAGCUGCUGGAGGGCGAUGAGAGCCGGCUGGCGUCUGGGAUUCACAACAUGCGUAUCCAUACGAAGACCACCAGCGGCUAUGCAGGUGGUCUGAGCUCGACCUAUGGCGGCCUCACAAGCCCCGGCCUCAGCUAAGGCCUGGGCUCCAGCGCCUUCAGCCACACCAGCUCCAUCAGGGCCAUGAUUGUGAAGAAGAUCGACACCGGCGAUGGGAAGCUAGUGUCCGAGUCCUCUGACGUCCUGCCCAAGUGA